UGACAGGAAGAGUGAGUACUCUUUUCGCUAGAAGACAAUGACGUUUAUCCUUCUCCCUGUGAAGCGCAAGCUAGCAACGGUAGAAAUGAAGUUUGAAAAGCUCACAAGCCGUGUUUUUUCUAAAACGUUUGAGCAUUGGGAAACUUUCGUCUUUGGUGCGUGUGCUUUCGGGUUUGGGGCCCCGGAUGCAGAGGCAAGCAUACUCCAGGGCUGCUGACAGGGAGAAAAUGAGCAAAUCCCCGAAGCACAGUAGAUGGCAGUGUAGCUUCGCUGAACCACUGGUAGGGUCAUUUUCAUUUUUCAAGCUCUCUGGGGGGAUGCAGCAAACUCCCAUCUUCAGACAUGAUAAGAUGAUGGCAAAAAGAAAAUCACAUCACAACCCAAGAUGGCAGUCCUUCCCCACAAGUUGCUGCCGGCCGAGUGAACGCAAAGAAUGGGGUGUCAGAGGACUGAAACAGAGAUGCGGGUUGGAGGUCAGACAGAAGGGCAGAAUGUGAGAGGCGGAUUAAAAGUGCCGGAACACAUGAGGCAGAGGGGAUAGUGGAGGGAUGCUCUCAAGCAGCUGAGGCUGCAGGAGUCAGCGAGGGGUGUGUGGGUUGGCUUGUUUGCUCUUAUCUCAGCCAUAAAUCGCUAUAGACCAGUAGGCAUACACAGGAAUCUUAUGUAACUGCAUUAUUAAUGCCUUUUGAUUGCUUUGUGAAUGUCACACAAUCAUGUUCUGACAACCUCUGCUUGAUUGUAUAGUAAAAUCAAGCAAGUCAUUGUAGGAAUGCAUAAUAAAAUCUGAUGCUUGUCAUCUUGUUCACACCCCUUCCUGUCUCUCCUGCUUCAUUAUGCCAGCACACACUCACUUUUCAUAAUGUGCUUCUUUUUAUGUACAUGUACAAUCAUUUUCACACAGAGUACAAGUAACAAAAACAAGAUACUUACAGCCAUUAUAGCUUGCCUAAAUUGCUUUUUCUAAUAUGGCUCACACGAACAACCGCUCCCCUGGCACCUAUGCCAGGAAUGUAUUAUAUGUGCAAUGUUGUGCAAUUAACCAAAUGAACCCUUUAUCAUGUCAUCUUACUGCCUAUGCAACUGACAGAAGUAGGUUAAUCUGAUGGCUCAUCUUCAACAAUCCCCCAUAGCAAGUCUAUAAAAAAGGUAAACUUACUGAGAAUAUAGUGUUCUUAUUUUAUGAUAUGAAGACGUGACUUUUCCCAAAGACACGAUGU